GUCUGUUGCUAGAUUAUGGUUUUGGGUGGUUUGCAUCUGUAUAUUUUGUGGUGUUUUGAAUUUUUUAGUUUGGUUUGGGUGAGUUUUUUGGGGUUUUUUGUUGGUUUAUUUGUUUUUUGGUUGGUUGGAUUUUAAUUCUCUUCAUUUAUGGCAGGGAGAGAAAAGGGGAAAAGGAAAAAAAUGGAAUCUGAAAGGAACCUGUCAUUUCAGGCUGUUCUAACAGCAAACAGAAUUUGACUGUAGAGUGUUAUGUUGAUAGAAGUUCCUGUUUUCUUCACCCAUGUGGAUGAACUACCAGAAGAGAAGAGAAAAAAUCUCAGAUGUUUCUCCAAUAGCAGGUGUAAAUCAUCUCUAUCUGAGAUAAUUAAGGUGUUACCAGCAAGAGGUUGAACUGCACAGGGUAGCAGCCAUUCUCCUGAGCCCUAUUCAAUUCACUGGUGCAAUUCUAAUAAACAGUUUCCUGAAACCCCA
rnacentral:lncRNA from 1 species